GUCCCUCUCCCUCUCCAGCGCCGCCACCGAGCGGCUCGCGCCGCCGCCGCCGCCGCCGCCACCCCUCGCGCCGCCAUCCCCACCAUCGCCGUCGCCGUCGCCUCGCCUCGUCACGGCCGCCUCCGCCAUCGCCUCCGCCACCUCCACCAUCGUCGUCGUCGUCGCCGUCGCCACCCCUCUCCCACCAUCGUCUCCGCCAUCGUUGUCGCCGUCGCCUCGCGCCACCACGGCCGCUGCCGCCUCCGACUUCCCCGUCGCCUCGCGUCGUCGUCGCCGUCGCCCGCCCCCGCCACCAUCUCCGGCCCCCCAAACCCUAGCCGCCGCCGCCCGCUCGUUCCGACGGGGAUUCGGAGGGGUCGAAGGGAGGAAGAGGCGGUGGCGGUCGGCGAAGAGGAUGACGAUGGCGACGGCGGCAGCGGCGGAGGAGGCGGACGCGGCGGUGGGAGAUGGAGACGGUGGUGAUGGCGGUCGGCGAAGAGGACGACGAUGGUGACGGCGGCGGCGGAGGAGGAGGCGGAUGCGGCGGCGGGAGAGCGAGACGGUGGUGAUGGCGACGACCCCCGCACUCUCUCAUGGCAAUCUCGGGGGAGGUGUCGGGGACCACGGCAACGCUGGUGGUCAUCAAUGGAUUCACGGUCACGGUGGAGUCAGUCGGGGACUCGCGGUGCAUCCUGGACACGCAGGGUGGUGAGGUGUAGCUGCUGACCGUCGACCACUGCCUGGAGAAGAAUGCCGAGGAGCGGGAGCGGGUUAGCGCCAGUGGUGGGGAGGUCGGCCGGCUCAAUCUCUUCGGUGGUCAGGAGUUCUAGGUUGGCCCUCUCCGGUGCUAGACAGGUGGCAUGUGCCUUUCAAGAUCUAUUGGGGACCUCUUCCUGCCGCUCCCAUCAUCCCUAGUUGCCCGCCCCACAUCCCAUCAUCGACGGCGGCGUGGAUUUUGGUGGUCGCGCAGGUCUGGCUGACGAGCUCCAUGCCGGCUCGAAGCAGAUGGCGACCUCAACGGCAACGUGGAUCCAGGCUAGAGCUUGAUAAUGGCACUAAUCUGCCAACGAGCUUGGCGGCAACAUGCCCGGCGGCCGCCGUUAGUUCCUUACCCAGCGCCGUCUCCACCGUCUUCGCUGCCUCCACGGUCAUGGCCAGCGGCGGUUGACCAUGGCAUAUGCUCCGGCAGGCAAAAGCAGAGAGAUGGCCUUCCUCCCCUUUCUCUCCCAUCUCUCCUUAGAUUAAUCUCUCUCUCUCUCAGGCUGCCAUUGUUGUUCUUUUCAUGGAUAAAAUUGUUAGGGAUCGGCAAUAUUUCCUAUUCUAAUUGUGUCUUGACUGAAAAUUAGUUCGAUUAUAUUCAGAGCCCGUGGUUAGGUGAUCCGAGAUUGGUGCUUGCUGGCUGGAUUAGUCAAUUAGAAAAAGGUAGAUUUUGAUAUGCAGUAUUAAUUUGAUCUUGUGAUGAUCUUAGUUCUUGUACCCUGCCUUCCCUUGAGGCUACUUCUGGAUACCCAAGGCCCUAGCGCGAAGACGUGUGAGGGGGCUGCAGGUGAGUCGGGCUAUCGCCGUGGAGCGACCGUGGUGAAGCAGCAGCUCUACAGCGGCCGGAUCAGUGCGGUGGUCCGGUGGCUUUACGGUUGCUAGAGCUGUUGCUGUUUAGGGUCAACUAGGAGGCAGUGUCUGUGUGGUGAUUCAUCACAGUUGCGGCGGUCUCGACCUACAGCAUAUGUCCAUGAUCGAUGCGUGACAAGAGCCGAAAAGGAUCAUCCAUUGUUGAUGCAGUUUUUCAAGCAAGUGGAUAAGAGCAGCAAGUAUUAUGAAUUUCGCUGCAAAACUAGAUUAGUGAAACCAUCAAUCCUCCACUUUCAGAACCUAUACAAGGAAGGGCUCUUGGAGCAACUGCUACAGUCAACUGCUCUACUGGUUAGUUGGUCACUUGGUCGUCACUUGUCAGCCUGACGGUGCAGCAUCUAAAAGCUAACUUAUACAGUGUGCUUUAUCUCUGGUAUGGCUGACCUCAGUUGCAUUGAUGGAAAGUUUCAAGAUUUGUGCAGUCAAUGAUGGCAUCAUAAAUUGCGUGGAUAUGUUCUUUGACAUGAAAAAAGCUUGAUGUUAAGUACAGAAGAACCAGGGCAAGUCACUAACUUUAUGGUAUUGGAGUUGGAGUAGAAGAUCAGCAGCUCCAUCAUCGACGAUGGCCUGAUCCACAAAGAUGGAUUUUGGUGGUGAUACUUCCAGGGAGGUCUGCUGGGACAAGAAACCUUCGCCGGUGGAGGAUAGCUUAUGUACAAAAAGCACAGCUGUUACUGAAUGAAGCUGCUUCUUGGUCACAUCUUUGGUACCUCUAUGUGAAAGGCACUGACUACUUCCAAUCAAGUGGGUGUCCAUUUAGUUGCAACAAGCGGCGUUACGGCACAAUUAUAUCUGCAGAUUGUACUUUAGCUUGAGGGUCUGUACACAACUCAAAAAUAUCUAUUUUGGGAGCUCUACAUGAGGAAUAUGAUCAUAGGAUGGUAAAUGCAAGAAGCCAAAGCGGAAGUAUAAGGCUGUACUAUUGGGCUUUUCACAGAUCAAGAGCUGCAGGCUAGAUCUCUUUCUCAUCUGUGGCCAAAAACAUUCAAGAUGAAACCUCCAGAAGGACAAGAUAUUGGACUGUGCUUCAUUAGUUCUCUUCAAAGACCAAACGGGAGUUCUGACCAUCUCCUGAAAAAUAUUUCUUUGCAUAUUGGGUUACGAACCAAGGCUGGUGCUACUAGGAAAAUGUAAUAAGUUUUACUUUUGGGGUGUUUUCGGAGAGCUGCACAGAUACUAUAAUCAAACAGGUAAUGUUAAGAUUGGCAAUACCGACUCGUGAGACAAAUUUGAAGAUAUUGGCAUGAACUUGGACUUGACAAAUGGCAAAGAGUUAAAGAGAGGCAAAUGUGGGAGUUAAAAGAGAGGCAAAUGUGGGGUUGAGGUGUCAUUUGAGAGGCACAAAUGUAAGGAAACUGGCAAGAUUUUGGAGACACAAGACAAAGAAACAUAGAAGGGAAAAUGUGGGGAGAUUAGUAAUAAAUUGGAUGUGGCAGUUAGCAGGUAAAGAGAUAGGAUCAACAAAUGUAUGAAAAUGCUGAAGACUCCUGAUCCAAAUGCUGCGGCAAGCUCUUUAGGAUGGUAACAGCAAAGAAGCUGAAGGGCAAGGAUGAGGCUGUACUGUUGAGCUCUUGGCAACUCAAGUAAAAGGGGUAGAAGGCUCGGGUGAUUCAGGUGCUGCUGUUCAUUGUCGGAAUAAACACUGUGCCAACUGGUCUUCGGGCCUUGUCUUCUGGCUCUGAUGCAAGGAUCGUACGCCGUUGUUACACUGAGAGUUUCCAUUAUACUGGCUGGCCAUCCCCGCAAUGAAGCAUGUCCUUAUGAGGGGGAAAAGGGUCGGGUGAUCCAGGCGCUGUUGCUGCUCUUCAUUAGCGGGAUUAACACGCUGUGCCAAUUGUUCUUUGGAUCUUGUCUCCUGGCUCUGAUGGAAUGGUUGUACCCUGUUGUAGAUCUGUUAUUACAAAUAAUCUGGGAUUCAUAAAGUUCUUUGUUAGGCAAGGUUGCAUGCUUGGAUUGGAGUAGUUCCUGGAGAGUUUUGGUGCCUCGCCUGAAGUGUUUCCUGAGAUUUGCUUUGCUUGGAAAUGAAUGUAAUCUUUUUUUAUUGGCGGUUUUUGUUGGUUUGUAACUUACUAAAUACAUGUAUUGCUCAUCUGGUAAUUCAGACUCAAGUGAGUUAACCUAUGCUGAUGAUGUUA